CCCAUGAGAUCAUGACCUGAGGGGAAAUCAACAGGCAGAUGCUUAACCAACUGAGCCACCGAGGUACCCCAGUCACGACCCUCGUUAAUUGCUCUUUGAUAAAGAUUUUUGUUAAGUUUUGCACGAGUUAAUUUUUAAAACGGGGCUCUAAAUGCUUCGUCAGUGAUAGCUUUUCACAAUACUUUCAGAAAACUUUACUGAGUAUGCAAAAUGGCCAGAUUUACAUCCCAAGAAAAAACAAAAAGGGCUCUGAGAAUUUUGAACGCAAAAUAUUUCAAUUGUAACGAGGACUUGUUUUUAUACUAUAAACAUCAAGGAAGAAAAAGAUCAACUUCUUCUAAAAGAAGGUGAAAAUCAGCUGUGUCGAGGCUUCUCCUUUGCUUUCUAAAAAUGGACGAGUCCUUCCAAGGUUUCGAAGGAAGAAGAUCAGAACGUAAGAAUUUUGAAGACUUCUUCGUACCAGGAAUGGGCAGACCUUCUUUAGGGUCCAGGGACUUGACUAGACUUAGAACGGAGGUGUAACACAAAUCAACGGUAAGAAAAUGGGAAUGGGAAAUUCUGGUAUUAAAGGACAUGGGGUUCUUUCUUUUUGAAACGUAGACCCCAGAAUCAGAUAUCUGGGCUGUGGAUUCCACUGUGGUGUCUGUGAACUCUCAAUACUUCUUUCUGCUACUCUCUUUUGCUUCUACAACGUCCCUGACACCAAGAAAUGUAUGUCCCUAUUACUUGUGUCUUUUCCUUAAUCUGGGUUGUAGCAUUUAAUUUGGGAAAAUAGGGAUUAGGAGGCCCAGAGUGGUUAGUGGACUGGCCCAGGUCCCACAACAGUUGAGGGGUGGUGUGGGAUUCCUCCUGGGGUCUCCCAGACACGGCUUCUGCCUGACCGUGGGGGACACCACCCCAGAGCAGCGUUGGGACAGACCCAGCCCCCUGCACCUGUGUGGCCAUUUUGUCAGGCUACCUGGGUUUUCUGAGGUUCGGGGGCUCAGGAGGCCCCUGCCCCCUCUCCAGCGCUUCCUUCUGGACAAAAGUGUGUCUGCCAGUCGUGACUCGAGGGUCCCAGCUGAGGUUGCACUGCAGAGCAGGGGCUGAGGCUCCCGGGCCACGCCUGGGCCCAGAACCUUUCUGCCAGGCGCUUUCUUUACGGAAGUCCCUCAGAUCCUUGGUCAGAAAACCAAGGGUGAGCAAGCCUUCCUCUUUCAAGAUAGCCCUCUCCGCUGCCCAGAAGGCCAAGACAGAGGGAAAAACUGUAGCAGAAAGGGCCUGACAUGUCACAUUCAUGGUCCUGGCCUUGCCUUUUUUAGAAAAGGAGCUCUUUCCCAUGGUUAGGGGAGAAGUCAGACUUUUUCCGGUUCCUCUUGGGCUGGACAUGAAGCAAUCUUCAGGCCUGAUGUUGACACCAGGUCAACCCCCCCCGCCAGACCUUCUCUCUGGGCCUGGCUGCUUGGACUUCUGGGCUCUGACCUUGGCAGCAAGAAAAUGACCCACUGGCCAGGGGUUCCAUGGCAGCAAGAACCGUGCAGGGCCUUAGCAGAGACAGAGCAGAGCGGGACAGCAGCAGAGACCCACAUGGGUUGACGUGGCCCCCAACUCCAUGGCACGCUGACUGGGAAGCCCCGGACAAGAGAGAUCCCAGCAAAUCAACAGAGCCUUGCGAUUCCCCUGCAUGCUGGAUGGUGCUGAGAAGCGAGUGGAUGGGAAGCCGCAACACGAGGCACCAAGAUGCUGAGAAGCUAUUCUGAGAGGUGACUGCGUUAGUGACUGGCAUAGCCAGAGCUCGAACCCAGCAGUCCAGCCCCAGAGCCCAAGCUCUCAGACGCUGGGCUUCCCAGCCACCUGUGCACCCUGUGGACACACGAGUAUCUGCAUCUCGAUCACCACGUGAAUAUACUUCUCUUACCGGUCGUCAUGUGAAUAUACACUCAUCGAACAGCAUGUAGAAAUAACAGACGAAGGUCAAAUAAUAACCAACUGCCUGCAAUCCAAAAUGGAGAGACAAUGUGACCCUGCUUUAAAUUAUUUUUCAUGUCUCAUUUCUCCAGCUAAGUCGUGAUGUGGGAUCCAUUGUCUCCUGCGUGAUUGUAGGUCUCCAGAGAGGUGAUGGAGUAUGGGUCAGUGGCACAGAGCUUGCCGAAAUUCUAGCUCUGUUCCUUAUCAGCUCUAUGAUUCUGGGUAAGUCAAACUCUUUCUAGCAACACUGCCAUUGUGCCAACUGUGUCCCCCCAGAUCCCUUUCCUGUUUUUUCGUACACACUGGCCGGUAGCCAACAUGUAUGCCCUCUGGCUGUAGAAGUUGCCCGAGCCUGCGUGCAUGGAGAACUGGAGCUGAAUGUGACCACUGGCCACGGGGAGUAUAUCUUCUGUAGCUGGUCCCCCAAUUAGGACAACACUGAGGUGUGACGACGCUGUUGGAGAGAUUCCCUGGGGUCUGAGCCAGACUCAGCCUGCAGGGGUCUUCUGCUUCAGUGUGCACCCGUGCUGACCUCGGUGUUUCUCGUUGCUAUUUCUUACUACCUGGGGAUGCUUUCUUCCUGGGAACUCUUUCAACCAGACAAACCGAAACCGAUAGACAUGCUACAAAGUGCCUGGCCAAUACUCUUCAAAAAUGUCAAGGUUGAGAAAGACCAAGAAAGAUUUAGAUGACAUUUCCACUUAGAGCAGGCUAAAGAGUUGCGAUGAUUAAAUGCAACACAUAAUCCUGGAUGGGAUCUUGAACCAGGAAGAAUAAAUAGCUCAUAAAAGACAGUAUUGGGAUGAUCGACAAAAUCUUAAUAUGGGCUGCACGAGUAGUAGCAUUGAAACAAUGCUAAAUUUUGUGUUUUUGAUCACUGCACCAUGAUUAUAUAAAAGAAUGUUCUAGUGCUUAGGACGUACACAGCGACAUAUAUAGCGAUAAAGGUACACGAUGUCUCUAAUAUUGGCAAGUCUGGAUAGAGGGCAUAUGGGAGCUUCUUACACAAUUAUUGAAACUUUUCUUUAAGUUUAAAAUUGUCAGGAUGAGAGGAUCCUUUGCCUCAGGUCCACUUCUAGGGAAUGGAACCUUGGACUCUCUCUGGGCCUCAUUUUCCUCAACUGUUAAAUAGAAUGGGGAGGGGGGUGCGUGCCUGAUCAGGCUUAGCCAGGGUUGAAGUUGGGUAUCUGAGCCAAGCCUUGUACGGUGAACAGAGACUCUGUCCCCCCUGCCCAUUCAUCAGCCACACGUUCUUGAACCCAGGGGUUGGGAGGCCUGCAGAAAGUUCCCAACACAUGCUGUAGGGCCCCGAAGCAACACAUUGUUCCGCGUUAUCUGGGUCCACACUCUCUCACUCGGCUUGGCCUGUGUCUCUGCAGAACCCUUCUCGGUCCACAGCUGUGGUCAGUGAUUUUCGUAGAUUAAAAGGAACUCCAGGGGGGAGAAGAUUUUUCCUGGGGAGAUCAAAGACUCAGCCUAAAACAUAAAAGAAACCAUAUAAAACUAUAUAUAUGAAGAACAAAACAAAACAACAAAAUAAAACUCAACCCAGGAGCGUGAUCCAUAUGUCAGAGUUGAUAAGGCCGAACUUCCGUGAUCUGCUCUAUAGAGUUGCCAACCAAGGCGGGAAUGUUGCCUUCUCCAGAAAAGGCAGCCGCAUAAAAGGGAGAUUUUUAUGGACUUUGGCAUAGGAUGAGGCAGGAAUCGUGUGUCCAGGGCUUUGGGAAGAAUCUUUAGGACUGAUGUGGUUUCUUUUACCCCUACUUUUAAUCAGUUACUGUAUCAGCCAGGAUUCAACCAACGAAACAGAACUGAGAGCAGAUAGGUAUUAAGAUUUGUUAUCAGGAACUGGCUGAUGUGAUGGUUGGGGCUGGCCUGGCAGGUUCGAAAUCCGUAGGGCAGUUCUGGAACUUGGACAUGGGCUAGAUCUUCUGUCCACAGGCAGAAUUUCUUCUUCAGAGAAAUCUGAGCUCUGCUCUUAAGGCCUUUCACCUUGAAUGAGGCCCACCCAAAUUAUACAGGAGCACCUCCCACACUUAAAGUCAACCGUUUAGACUUUAAUCACAUCAGCAAAAUACCUUCACAGCAACUUCUAGAUUAAUUUUUUUUAACGUUUAUUUAUUUUGAGACAGAGAGAGACAGAGCAUGAACAGGGGAGGGGCAGAGAGAGAGGGAGACACAGAAUCGGAAGCAGGCUCCAGGCUCCGAGCCAUCAGCCCAGAGCCCGACGCGGGGCUCAAACUCACGGACCGCGAGAUCGUGACCUGAGUCGAAGUCGGACGCUUAACCGACUGAACCACCCCAGCGCCCCACAACUUCUAGAUUAGUGUGUGAUUAAAUAACUGGGGAUGGUAGACUAGCCAAGUCGACACAUAAAACUGACCACCUGAUAUCUUCAGAAUCCCUCGUCUUCUCUUCAUCUUCGUUUAUAAACUUCAAGGUCAAUGGCUCAUCUCUGAUGGCCCUGCAUCCAGGCCUGUCUGUGGUCUCUGAUCUAAUCCAGCAUGGCAUAGUCCAGGUCAGAGAUGACUUCAUUUUUACCAUUGACUUUGGGAUAAAUGUCAACGUACUAAACUGGACAGUUCCUACCCUUCAUUUUGCAUUAAAGCCUCAAGCCACACCGGCUUGCUCGUCUCCUUCACACUUUUCCAUCCGUACAUGAUAAUGGCCGACGUUUCUUGGACACUCGUUCCCAGACUCUGUGUCAGGUGCUUAGCCUUAGAUGGUCUAAUUUAAUGAUCAGAAUAAUGGUGUUUUGCAGAUGGCAAAAGUGAGGAAUGGAGAGAUUAGAGCAAUCCGGCCCCAUCACCAAGGUAGAGUUGGCCUGAUCUAUAAUCCCACAAAGCCUGACUGUAUAAUCACGAGUGUCAGCAUUACCUGAUGUGGCAUGUCUCAAGGUUCGCUUCUCAUUUAUUUCAUGAUCUGCUUGUUUCAUUGAAGCCUAUCCCAAAUGUCACAUCCUCUCUGGAGCCUUUAGAUUCCGUGGAUAGAAUUUGCAGCCCUCCUUUGUGCCUCCCCAGUUCCUGGCACUGUAUUUUUCAUGUCCUUUCCUAGGAUGGUCUGCUAACCGUGGCUGUACUCUCCUCCCAUCCGGCAUCAGCCCCUUAAGGAGAGGGAGUGUGUUGCCCUCAUCUGCUUCUGAAGGCCCAGCACAGGGUCUGACCCAUUAAUGGACACCCAUAAUUAUUGUCAAAGGAUUUACUUAUCUGGGGACUUAUUGUCUCUCUCAAGGCCCAUCUAACAGGGAGCAGGGAUGGCAGUCCUCAAUUACUCUGCUCUUCUGUCUAUACCAGUGCAUUCCUGCAAUCAAAUUACAUGUUGAAUUCUGAUCUUCUCAAUGAACUCUGCAGCAGAACGAUGAUGGCCAGUAGUCCGCUGUAGGCUGGCGUCUGAUUAACAAAGGCGUGGCGCUAGGGUGCUUUUCUUACUUGAAGGAGCUACGUAACUUCGUCCACUGCUCGACUGCCUAACGGGCAAUCUAGCCUCAGAAUGACUGGGGCCUGAGUUACCUGGAUAGGAUGCUCUUGGACUUCACCCUAAGUGAGGAAUGACCCCUGGUUUGCUGGGGCACCCAAUAAUGUGUCCCCUUAGUGGGAACGGGGUCCUCUCCAACCCAGACAGAACGUGAUCACGGAGACGAACAGGGAAGCCCGAGCAGACGUGUGAGGCCAGAAUGGCUGGCACCUAGUAUCCCGUUAGGCUCCCACCCAUGAGGACUGCUAGUUAUUUAUUAUAGGAAGAUUUUACCGGUGGUCAUGCCAGGCUCUGAGGAGGGAGAGACAAACCUAAACACUCGCUGUCCCCUUUAUUGUGUCUGGUGGCUUCAGAGUUGGUAGCUAGCUUCAUCGUCAUUGUAAUCGUGGCUGGUGUGCCCUGGGCUUGCGUGAUUUCCCUGUCUUUCUCCACCUGCCUCAGUGCACUCCUCCUGGGAGCUGCACCCCGUGGCUUCUCUGGACUGGGCACUUUCCAAGGGUGGGGACUGUCUCAGUCAUGCAUUCAUCCUGCCAUCCAGCACAGGGCUUGGCACAUCCCUCGUACCCAAUAAACAUGUGCCGAAUGAAAAUGAGGCACAGAUCACAGACAAGACACGGUGGCUUCAUCUUUAUAGACCAGAUGAUUGGCUAAGAGGUGCUAUAAUUUCACUUACGUGCAGAUACAGCUAAAUGUCUUCAAGGCAAUGAAGAAAGCUGACACGAUCUAGGCAAUUGUAUUUGUGUUGGCAAUUAUGAUAAUGAGAAUGCUCCUUCGCCUCCAAAUACUCUGGCUGGGAUAUCUGAGAUGGCUACUUGCCAGUUACCCUUUUUGCUCUGCAGUUUGGAUGUGGCCUUGGUCCUCCACAGCUCCGGUGCAGGAGUGAGCUUGAGUUAGUCAGAUUGACUACUCUGACCAUGAGUCAGGUGGACUGGAUGGUGGAUCCAGAGGGCUGUGAGCAGAACAGCAAACUUAGGGCUGAAGAAACCGAGUCUCAUCAUGAUUAAGGCAUCAACGAUCUAUGAGGUUUUGGGUAAAUCAGGAGCCUCAGUUUCCACGUCUGUAAAAUUAGGAUAAUCAUAUUUACCACACAGCAUUGUUCAGAGUAUUAGGAAACUGUAGGAAAGAUCCUGAGAUAAGAAGUUCAGGCUGAUGGAGGAGACAGGUGAGUAAUCAGAAUGAUCUAUAAUGCUCGCAUCCCGGAGGAGGUCCGUCCAAGGCGCGCUGUGGGAGGAUUAAUUACUUAACUCUACCCUGGGCCUUGGACCAGGUCGGGCAGGGGGGUUACCACGGUUUAGGCUUAUGCUGUCAGCUUCCCACAGCCCUUGGCCUGAGUGGGUCCUGGCUUGAGUUCUACAGCCCCAACGGAAUAUGAUAAUGAAAUGUUGCUUUAGAUGGAAGGUCCCGCACGUGUGCGAAUUUUGCUCCUCACGCGUGAUAGUCAUAGGACAUAGAAGAUAGCUUUCAGAAGGCGGCAUCUAAGUGACCACAGAUGGCUUUGGACACUCGGUGGAAACUUGGACUUUGUUUGUAAUGAUCAAAAACCUGCCCCUCUGGUAAACCAUGUGAAACGGGGGCACAAUUUAGUGACUUGGUUCAAUACGGAGGGUUCAAACGGCAAAAGGGGGUCAAGGCAGAGGCCAGGACGAGAGGUAUCUGGUUUGUUCUGUGGGGUCCCUCCACCUGCCCCAGCGGGAAUGCAGAUGGCUUCAGUGGGGAACACUUGCAUCACUGUGCCCGGGAGAGCCGUCAGGCUGAAGGCUGGUCGGUAGGGAAGGAGGGACGUGGGUGGGCACCAAGAGCCAUGGCGAGGUGUCACGUGACCUAAGCCAACUCCCCUGGCCUCUCUCUGUGCCUCAGUUUCCUCACUGAAGGUCAUGGUGCUGAGCUGUGUGCAGUGAAAGAAAAAAAAAGAUGGCUGUAAAGUUCUUUGAUUACACAAAUCACUAAAUAAUAGCAUUUAAUUAUUUAUAACGUGUUUGGAGAUCUUGGGAUGAAAGCGGUGGAGGGUGCAGCGUGUUAUUAACCGGUUGUCAGCAACCUUUGUGCAGGUAAUAGACUUAAUUACUGCAUUAAUUGGACACAGUGGUGGAGAGGAGCGAAGGCCCUCCCACCCUGCUUCCUCCCCACCCUCUUUCCAGCACUCCCGGGCCACUCCAGGGGGGAAAGGGGGCCCACUGGUUCGGAGCCCUUUUUCUUAUCUGUGGGCCUUCCUUCCAGCGCCCGGGACCCAGGAUCCACUCUGCUUAUCACCUGGGAAUGCAUCGUGGGUGGGGGGUUUCUGGGUUUCUUGGGGUUGACAAGGCUGGUCUCUGCCAGCCCUGUGUAUCAAUCACCAGCUCUAAUUAGACUGUAAACGUCCCCCCCCCCCCUUUUUUUCUCCGCUAAGCUUGUUGCAGGUCACGUGGCCGAUCUGUAAAUCUCAGCCCCUGGAGCAGUUUAAUGGCCACGGUGACCACAGGUAGUAACUCAGGCUCCCCUAUAAAUGGAAAAUAAAAACAACAACCCAUUACGGAUGAUGGUAGGUCUGCAACUCGCACGCGGCACCUCGUAAACUUGAGCGAUUGCUUCUGUGCUUGGCUGAGAACAGGGUGGGGAGGGGGCUCCAGGUGGCGGGAGGACAGAUUUGUGACCUGCCGUCUCCAGGUCGCCUCUCCCUCCCUGUCCUGGCCCAGCCCGGCCACAGGUGCUGAACAACUUCACCCUGCCCUUCCCAGCAGGCAGGACCCGGUCCUUGUCAGGCUCCAGCUCUGCCUAUGGGUUGGCCUUGGCCAGUGAGUCUUGCUGCCCUCCUUCUGAGGCUGGUGUGUGUCCUUGGGCUGGCUGGGCUCCCUGCAGUCCCGUUGUCCGUCUCAUUGGUGCCACCAGUGUUAGAGUGCCAGCGUGACAGAGGAAAAAUGUGUGUCGUGACUGUGGAGAUGUUUGCUCAUUUUGGUCCCUGCUGUAGCCCAAGCAUCUAGACGUGUGCCUGGUAUACAGUAGGUGCUCAGUAAAGAGUUUUUUGGAUGAAACAGUGAAUGAAUAAGUAGAGUCUCUGGGUUCAGGAACAUAGGUCUGAAUCCCAGGUCUGCUGCCUACCAGCUAUGGUAAAGUGGGAAAGUUACUCAACGUCUCUGGAUCUCACUUUCCUCCUCUGUGAAAUGAAGACGAAGUGUUUGUGUACCUGGGUCGUUGUGAGGGUGAAAACAGGUGACAUUUCUAAACCUGCUUAGAAGCACGCGUUACUUUGACAAACGAAGAAAUGGAAACUUUGGUAGAUUAAGAGGUUUGGAACAUGCAGGAGGGAGAACCCAGGUAUCCAAAGUCAUUCAGAUUUGGUUCUCGUUACUGUUCUAAGUGGUGUCACAGACAUCAGAGGGAACCUGGUGGUUCCUUUGUCCACCCCUGGGGGAUCUGAGAGUCCUCAGAACCUCUUCUGAUCUCAUGUCCAUUUCAGUAAGUGGUUGAUUGGGGUCCAUGGCCUGUUGGGCUGGACCUGGAGAUCAGAGUGAAUAAAACCCAGUCCCUGUCCUCAAGGAGCUCAUAGCCCGGCAGGGGACACAGAGGCAGUGGAAAUGACAAUGGAAUGUGGGCAGGCCAUGUUCGUGUCGGAUACAGAGCUUUGUAGGAAUCCCUAGAUGGGAGGCUCUAACUCUGUCCUUGGGUCUCUGGGAAAUCCUCACAGAGGACAGGAUACAAGAUGAGUGCUGAACAAUGAAAAAAAAAAAGGUUUCUCUGGUGAAGAAGAGGGUUGGGUGGAGGGUUAGAGACAGAUACAAAAUAAGGCAUGAUUUGAAAGCGUGAAUAUGUGUGGAGUUCUCACAGACUUCUGACUGGUUCGGUAUGGAAGGAUCAGAGGUAACUGAAAGAGUAGGAGAUUAGGUUGGGCCAGGUAAUGAGGGUUUUACAGGCUAUUCACAAGAUGUACUUUUUCUUAAGGGCACUGGGGAGCCACAGAGGACAGUAAGCAGGAGAGUGAUGUGACCAUUUUUAUACUGAUAAAAUUACUGUUGACCGCCUGGUGAAUGAAGCAAAGGACUUCAGAACUGGGCACAGUGCACCCAAAUUCAGAUGCAAAUAAAGUUAGCUGUGUGUUUGUGGCAUGCCUUGUCUACAUAUGCCGUCCUGUUAGCCCUCCGAUGCACCUCCAAGCUAAAGGUGGCCAAGGAAUGACAGCGGCCACCAGAAACUGGAAGAGGCAAGGAAGGACCCCUCUCUCGAGCUGUAAAAGGGGAAAUGGCCCUCCCAACAUCUUGAUUUUGGGCUCCUGGCCUCCAGAACUGCAAGAGAAUAAAUUUCUGUUGUUUUAAGUCUCCCAGUUUAUUCAUUAUGACAAAUAACCUGUAGGAAACUAAUACACCUUCCACAGCCUGUGAAGAAGACACAAUUUUUAAGAAAACAGAUUCGGGUAGGGACUGAGGGAAGUGCUACAGUUAUCACCUAGUAGGUACUGGAUCUGGUGUUCAAAAUCAGAUUUAUCUCAUCCAAACGUAUUUUGUCCCCAUUCUACCGGUGAGAACUUUUGUGAGCAGCCCUCUGGGGAAACAGGUUAGCUAUGUGUGGAUGCUCCACCUCUAGAAGGUAAAUAAGGAUGCAAAUUGUGUUUGGGAAGCCCCAGAGAACAUUCUGGAAACUCAUUUGAAGCCAAUAGGGGCCAUUUGAACAGCUUGAGGGACAAUAGCAAUAGGGUCACUGCUACUUCAUUUUUUCCCAUCAAUCACUUGGGUCUCCCUUUACAUUUUUAGCAUGAAUCCCCCCAUUUGCAAGGGUCAACUGGGGUCUUGUUCAGUCAGGAGGGGGGCCCGCUCUGUUUCCUGAUGUCAGGUGAGAGGAACUAGAAGCUCUGCCCGGCUCUGUGGAAUUUCAUUUUGGUCCUGUCCACAUGGUGUCGCUGUUGAACACCAGUCCUGCACAGCCUAAAGAGCCCUGGAACACUCAAGUGGGCCUGUCUUUGCUGGCUGUAUCCCUGUGCAGCUCCCGGGGGUGGGCUUCAGGGGUGAGGACCGCCAGAAUGGGCCCAGGAAGCCCCCAAAUGGGCUUUCUUUAGAGCAAGACUAGCAGUUGGAUUCCUAAGCCUUUUGGAGGUUAAGGUAGAUCAUCUCUAAAACUGCUACUGAAACCGUCUUCCUGAUUUGAGUUUAAAGGAGCUCCCUCCCAGGCAGGUGAUGAUGAGGUGUUUAACCAGAAGUGGGGAGAUUAGGCUGGGGUCCCAGUGCUCCCACAGGGAGGCCCUUUUUCACCCCUAAGUUUAAGUGAGGGCCCCUCCACGCAUGCUGCUCUAAUUUAUGGCACCUAUCACAUUUGCAACCUCGUGGGCAUUGGAUAUUUGCAUUUGUGUGGUAUUUGCAUAAUGAUUUGUCCCCUUCCCCAAACUGGAACCCCAUGAGGGUAGGUGCUAGGAAUGGUCCCCACUUCUAUAUUCCUGAGGCCUAGCACAGAGUCUGGCUCUUUAGGAGACUUUGCAACGAUGAAUACACUCUCUGAGGCACCAGUUCCCACCUCAGCUCAAGAGCAAACCGUCUUGGCUGUGUGAUCUGGGGCUGCUUGUCCAAGCUCCCUAAGCUUCUGCUUCCUCCUCUGAAAAGAGGAAAGAAAAAUAUACCCACUUCCAAAGGAUGUUGAGAGGAGUGAAUAACAUAAAGCAUGGAAAAUACAGUACAUUGCCUGGCACAGAGUAAAUACUCACUAUACACUAAUUUAAAAAGUUUUUCCUUCCUCUCUUCCUCCCUCCCUCCCUUCCUUCCUCCCUCCCCUCCCUCGCUUCCCUCCUUCCAUCCUCUUACUGCUCACCUCCCUUCUUUGUCAGAAUUUUGUGUGUGUACAUGUGUAUGUGUUUGUGUGUAUAUGUUUGUUGUGUGUGCAUGCAUGUAUUUGUGCAUGUAUGUGUGCAUGUGUGUUUUAUGUGUGUGCUUGGGUGUGUGUAUGUGUGUGUAUAUAUGUAUAUGUAUACAUUUGUGUGUGUGUGUGUGUGUGUGUGUGUGUGUGUUCUCCAGCACUGGGACUCACCCUUGGGGUGGGACUGUGAGUACAUCUCAGGUAGAAGAGUCCCUGCUAUGGUGCAGGGGCUCCAACGCCUGGGAGACCUGGCUCUGAGAGGGCAUGUAAGGACAGCGUAGCCCUGAGAGCCGUCCUCACCCGCCCUGAUGGUGACUCCACCCCCACAAGCCACCGGCAGGGGAAGAGACCGUGUUUGUAGUGAGGGCCAAGUACCCACGCACCGGAGUCCGCCUUUCACCGACGUCAUCCUGGGUCUUCUGGAACUCCUGGCCUCUAGGCUCGGCGGUAGAGGGCUGUGGAAGGUUAGAGAACAAGGUGAGUUGAGGCUUUCUUUUCUCUCUUCUCCCGUGGGAGUUGCUGAGGGGCAGUUACCAGGGAGACUUGGGAAUGCUACCCAUCAGUGACCUCGGCAAGUUGUAAAGCUCUCGGUGCCUCGGGUUUUCUCUUCUUUUCUGUAUACUGGGAAUCUGGGAAUUAAGAACACAACAAAUUUGGGAUGCUAGGGUGGUUGGGCCGGUUAAGCCUCCGACUCUUGAUUUCAGCUCAAGUCAUGAUCUCAGGGUCAUGAGAUCAAGUCCCGCUUUGGGCUCCACGCUGAGCAUGGAGUCUGCUUGGGAUUCUCUCACCCCCGCCCCCCUUAAAAAAAUAAAUUAAUUAAGCAAAGAUGACAAAGUCUUAAACGCAAGCAUAUACAGAGGCCAGGUAGCUAAAUGAGUGAAGCAGGAAACAAUGGAAACAAUGCUGUGGGGAAAAUAUCUUGACCCAAAGGGGCAGAUGUUUUUCAACUUUAGCCAACUGUUGCCACAUGAGAUGUUUAUUCAUUCAGAACUUCUAGUUUUCCAUUAUUCAUGAGAAGGCAGAAAACUGGAUUUUUACAUGAAAAUUUUCUGAAACAUUCUAUGUGGCACAACUAAAACAUCUUUGUGGUUCAGAUAUGGCAGUCAGGUCAAUACCUUGUGACGGGCAUAUACUAAACAGUUUGCAAUAUAUAUAUUUUCCAACUGGGUGUUGAUUCCCCUGGGAUGGAAGAGGGAGAGAACUGUGGAGAGGGAAAGAAGAAACAGAAGGGAGAUGUAGGGGGUGGGGGUGGAAAGUAGCCAGGAAUGCUCAGGACAGCAGAGAUCCAGUUGUGAACCUGUGUUUGGCCUCUAGCUGGUCCCCGUGUGGAGCUCCCAGGACACUCUCAGACCGCCCCACCGCCCCCCACACCAACUGUCUCCAUCGAUGCAGGUGAAACCAGUGUGGGGUGGUCAAGACGGGCUGCCGGUGUGUCUGAAUCCUCACAUUCCCUUCUGGGAUCACAGGGUAGGAUGGGCUCCUGUUCUUCCCCCAUCUGUCAUCACAAAGUUGCCGGAACCGCGUGUCCAGAAUGAACAGGGUUUAGCUCAAGGGUGGAGGGACUCCUGAGCUGCUCAAUCUGGCGUCUGACAUCACUGGGCUAAGCUGGACGACACUACAUUCUCUGGGUUUACGGAUGCCAUCCGGUACCUUCUGGGGCGGGGGCCAGGGUGGAGAGGUAGGGGUGCGUGUUAGCGAGCUCAGCUGCCCGCCUACCCGGAUGCUCUCUUUCGGCUGCAUCCCAGUCAGUGUCCGGGGAGGUGUAACUGCCCUGGGCAAGUGACUUCAACUUCCUGAGUCUCAGUUUCUUCAUCUGUAAAAUGGGGGAUAAUAACACCUGGCUGUCACGUCUGUCAGAGUGCCCGGCGUUCUCCUCUCCCCCUUUCUCCCCGUCUUGCGUCUGCCAACGUGACGCAGAGCCCAUCGCCAUGCUUGAGUCUCCUCCAAGGGAGGCGACUUCCAAGCUUCCAGAGCGGUUCACCUGAGCCUGGCCCUGCUCCUUCUUCCAGCAUCCACCUGGGGGCCUGAGGAGAAAAGGCCCAAGAGGGUCUCUGUUUAUUCAUGCAGGUGACCUGUUGACGCAGGUCAGUGGAG